GGGUCAGUAGGUUGGUCGUGCCACCGGUACGUACUGGUCUCACUGCUUCCUCCUUCCUGAAGAACCGUAAUGCCAUUAAUUUGGUGUUGCGGGGAAACAGGACUAUUACUUUGAAAAAAUUAGAGUGUUUAAAGCAAGCUAACGCUUGAAUACAUUAGCAUGGAAUAAUGAAAUAGGACGAUCGAUCCUAUUUUGUUGGUUUCUAGGAUUGACGUA
rnacentral:rRNA from 1 species